rnacentral:rRNA from 1 species
AUUGAACGCUGGCGGCAGGCCUAACACAUGCAAGUCGAGCGGAUGAAGGGAGCUUGCUCCUGGAUUCAGCGGCGGACGGGUGAGUAAUGCCUAGGAAUCUGCCUGGUAGUGGGGGAUAACGUCCGGAAACGGGCGCUAAUACCGCAUACGUCCUGCGGGAGAAAGUGGGGGAUCUUCGGACCUCACGCUCUCAGAUGAGCCUAGGUCGGAUUAGCUAGUUGGUGGGGUAAAGGCCUACCAAGGCGACGAUCCGUAACUGGUCUGAGAGGAUGAUCAGUCACACUGGAGCGGAGACACGGUCCAGACUCCUACGGGAGGCAGCAGUGGGGAAUAUUGGACAAUGGGCGGAAGCCUGAUCCAGCCAUGCCGCGUGUGUGAAGAAGGUCUUCGGAUUGUAAAGCACUUUAAGUUGGGAGGAAGGGCAGUAAGUUAAUACCUUGCUGUUUUGACGGUACCAACAGAAUAAGCACCGGCUAACUUCGUG